GCAAGACUGAAAAGUGGUGCUGGAGCUCCAGGCCUGGUGAGCCUCAUGACCCAGGAUUCUGCCAGCCACUUUUCCAGAUCUGUUUCUGGGGUGUGACUGGACAGAGCCUGGGAUAGGAACCAGGAGGCUGGGAGGUCUGCAGGGGGACCGCCCUAUCAAGCCUCCAGUAUGUCCUCCUUCUUCAGGAUGUUACCUCCUCCCUGGCUACCAGGCUAGCCUGGACCUCAGACUCGACGGCUGAAAGUGUUGUCCUAACACUGAAGCUCUUCUUCCACUGACCAGCUUACUGAUAGACGGGAUCUCACAGAUGCCAUGACUCAGUCCUGUCCAGUGCUGGCAGGCCAGGUUCAAUGUCAAAGGUGUUAACCCCACUGCUAUGGAUCCUUCCAACAUCAUCCUUAUUUAACUCCAGUCCCCAAACCUUCCGUGUGGACUCCGCUCUCCAGAGGUGAGAAGGGUCAUCCAGAUUGGCUUGUCUCAUUGAUAAAAACCCUCCAGAUUCCACUUCUAAAAAGAAUUCUGGAACCUCAAAGAUGACAUAUAGCUAAUCCUGCAGCUUACACAGCACAACACAGCCCCACUGCCAAGGGAAGACCUUGGGAAUCUUGCUCACUCUGAGGCUGAGUGGACACUCACCUGCAAAAUGUCAGUGGAGGUUGCAUCGUGUCCCGUGGCCGAGGAAGGACUCCGUGCACGUGUCUGUCCACGUGCACCUGUCUGCAUGAGGCCAGAGGAAAGAUUCUAGUGUCUCUCCAGGACUAUCCCAUGAGCCAAUUGCCACUUCUCUUGUCUCCUGGCUACAGAAAUCUUUGUUCCCCGGCCACCAAAUCCAGCAGCAGACCUGGCUGGACCCUGAAGCCUGGUUCAGCUGCCUCAUCAGAUCCUCAUAGCUACAGAAUGUCCUUCACAUGUCCCGGAGCAUAGUCACACACACGCACGCACACACACGCACACACACACACACAUUGAGAAUGAGAGAGAGAGAGAGAGAGAAGGAGAGAGGUUUGCCGAGGACAGACACGCACAGGGAGGCUGACCUGGCCUGCCUGAACUGGGGUCACCAUCAGAAGAUUUGCCUUGAGUCAGUGGAACUUAGGGUCCAGGGCCCUCACUCGUGCUGGCUCUUUCCAAUUUUACUGUAUUUUGUAUGGUUUCUAUUUUUUAACAUUUGUUAAUGUGUGUUUUAUUGCCCAGACCGUGAUCUCCCUUGGGCUCUUAGUCGGCUUGGGCUGCUAUAACAGAAUACCAUAGACUGAGUGACUUCAACAACAGAAAUCUAUUUUCUCACAUUUCUGGAGACUGGAAGUCCAAGACCAGCAGGGUAGGUGUCUGGUGUGAGCUCUCCCCUUGGCCUCCCGAGGUCUGCCUUCUUGUUAUGUGCUCUCAUGACGUCUCUUCUCAUAAGGACACUAAUUGUAUCAGAUCAGGGCCUCAUCAUUAUUAUGUCAUUAACCUUAAUUACUUCCUUAGAGGCCCCAUCUCCAAAUUUAGCCAUACUGGGGAUUAGGGCUUCCCUAUAUGAAUUUCAGGGAAGGGACACAAACUGUUGGUGAACGUUUGGUGUGAGCUUGAGUAGAAUGUGCAUUCUGCUCAUGUCGGAUGAAAUAUCCUCUAAAUGUUAAAGAUCCAGACAACGGACAGUGCUGUUCAGUUCAACUAUCUAUUUACUGAUUUUCUGCCUCCUUGAUCUGUCAGUUUGUUCAGCUUUUUUUGUGUUAGGAUGGGAAUGAAAACUUCCAGGCUCUUUACAUGUUGGAGCUGAAACAGGGGUUCCCCAGAUUUGCUUUUUUGAGCCAGAAGGAGUUAAAUAGGUGGGAAAGUGUAGACAGCCCCUUCCCAGUUGCCCUUGGUAACGUAUGUAGAUGAAAUGUCUUCAUCCGUGUAUGAUGGAGAGGAAAAAGAUUGCCCUUUGAGUAUGGAAAAUAAAGAUGGGCUAGAAAUAGGGACAGAGAAGAAGGAAGAAGUUUCUGAGGGGACCCUGGGUCUGUGGCCCCAGUACCAGGGACAAGCUUGGUGUUCACACACGACCUUCGGAAAGAGGGUUUACAAACUCAGACAGAUCCUGGGGCAUAAGCAUGAGAGGGCUCUGGGCGCCUUAUUUUCAGUGUGCAGGUUGGAUGCUGAGAUAUAGUGAUUUCUAGAAAAUAUAUAUUUGGUCAUUCAGAUACCAGAUGCAGGGUUCAGAGAGCUUCUGGGUUGGUGAGCAGGUGGAGACUGGGACUGUUAGCUGUCCUGGAAGGGCAUGGAAGCUCUGAACCCUUUGUCCAUUCCUUGCCUUCUGCAUCUCUUCAUCUGGCUCUUGAUUUGUACGCUCUAUCACAUCCUUUAAUAAACUGGCCAAUGUGUUGACUUGUGUUCUGUGAGCCACGCUAGCACCCAAAUUAAGAGAACCUGAUGAGGAGGUUUUUGGGACCUCCAGUCUGUAGCAGUUUGGUCAGAAGCACUGGUAACAGCUAGGGCUGUGCCUGGCAUCUGAAGUGGGGGGUGGAGGGCAGUCUUGUGGGACUGAGCCCUUAACCGGUGGAAUCGGAUGUGGUCUCCGGAGAGAUGGUGUUGGAAUUGAGUUGUGUUCUUGGUGUCUGAGAAUUGUUUCGUGGUGAACCCCCCCACCCACCCAGUGUUGAAAUUGGGUCAAGGAACCUAAAAGAAAUGCCAACCAGUCAUAAUUUCCAGGGCAUUUUGGUGGUUUAUAAGAUCAGGCAGACGGAAUAGUAUUGAAACUGUGCCUACCAGCCAUUAAAAUCUCUAUCGAGGACUGGGCUAGGCGCUUCACAAACAUCCCUAAUGCUCAUGGUAAAUUUGUCCGCAAAAUAUUAGACACCAAGUCCCACUAGUCACGGCCUCCUUCCCUGGGCAAGGUCAAUUCCUCUUCUAAUUCAGUCACCCAUCCCACCUGAACUUUGUUACGUAGAAACCGUAUUGUAAUGUGAAACACCUCCAGCACUUCUUAUAUAAAUCAUUAGGGGAAAGACAAGAGGGAAAAUGUCGAAUGUAUAUGAGGAAGAAAAUAUGCAAGCUCCCAUACUUCAUGCCUGUAACUGGUCAUGAGGCCUUGGCUGGUAUCAGAAUGUGUGUGUUGGAGGACACGAAUAUCUACAAAUGGUACUUAGGGGUUCAAAUCCGAGCAUUCAGAAGUCCCUUCCCCAUUUCUGGUGAGCCCUGAAGUGGCUGGGCAGGGGUGGGUGCUGACAAGACAACAUUCACUGGUAUAAGUUAGGGAGAGCAAGCCCGUUCUCCAGGGAGCUCAGUGCAAAUCCUAGAAACCCGGGCCCCAGAGAUCAUCCAACACUGUGGCCUAAUCAUGUAGUCUCUGGAGUCAAAGAGCCAACUCACGUCCAUCUUGUACUACUUUCUAAAUGCGUGGCCUUGAGCAAAUUCCUGCCCUCCCAGUGUCUCCCAUCUGGAAUGGAAGAUUAAAUGAGAUAAUCAGUGUAAAGCACUCCAUAAACGUUAGCUUAGUAUGAAUAGCUGUCAUUGUGAAUUAUUUUUUUUAUGUUGGAGGGCAGUCCAGAAAGGACUCCUUACAGUUACUUAGGUUUUAAAUUAAUGUUCCUUUCGUUAAAAUAGAAAUAACCUAGUUAUCCUUAAGCUGUUAUGUUCAGUUUAUAAAUCUUGUUAUUCUGUUUAUAAAAAUGGCAAGAUAAGAACAGUGACCUUCAAUUUUUUUUUGAUUAAUGAUCUAUUAACUCAACUUGAAGACCCUAAGCUCCCUUUAGAGAUCAUCUGUAAACUUAAUUAAAUUCCUCUAAACACUUUGAACUGCAUUUAUAAAUUUAAUAUAUUACAUUUCCUUUGUAAGCACUGCAGUUGCCUAACAAAGCAAACGAAUGACUCUAACAAGCAAGUAAUAAAUUCUUAUAUGCCUAAGAAAUAAAGUGUAUUAACAUAGUGAAAGAACAGAAAGAAAAAUUAAAAUGUAUUAACAUAGUGAAACACCAGUUUUCUUUAAAAUCCUGUUAGUAUUCACAAAAAAUAAAAUCAAAUUUUCGUUCCCCUUCCAACUUAAAAUCAGAAGUCUAUAUUUAUCACACAUCUAAACCUGGAAGCAUCAGGCUAAUACGUCAGUCUUUAAUAUACAAGAUUGUCAUAACUAUUACAAUAUUUUAAAGAAACAACUAUGCACGGGUUACUCCUAAACUUAACAUGACACUUUGAUUGUAAAAUUUCAUUUGCUUCUUCAU